UACGUAGGGGGCGAGCGUUGUCCGGAUUUAUUGGGCGUAAAGAGCUCGUAGGCGGUUUGGUAAGUCGGGUGUGAAAUCUCCACGCUCAACGUGGAGGGGCCACUCGAUACUGCCAUGACUCGAGUCCGGUAGAGGAGUGUGGAAUUCCCGGUGUAGCGGUGAAAUGCGCAGAUAUCAGGAGGAACACCGGUGGCGAAGGCGGUUCUCUGGGCAUUACCUGACGCUGAGGAGCGAAAGCGUGGGGAGCAAACAGG
rnacentral:rRNA from 1 species